rnacentral:rRNA from 1 species
AUUGAACGCUGGCGGCAGGCCUAACACAUGCAAGUCGAACGAGUGGCGGACGGGUGAGUAAUGUCUGGGAAACUGCCUGAUGGUGGGGGAUAACUACUGGACACGGUAGCUAAUACCGCAUACCAUCAGAUGUGCCCAGAUGGGAUUAGAUAGUUGGUGGGUGAACGGCUCACCAAGGCGACGAUCCCUAGCUGGUCUGAGAGGAUGACCAGCCACACUGGAACUGAGAUACGGCCCAGACUCAUACGGGAGGCGAGGGUGGGGAAAAUUGCAUAAUGGACGCAAGGCUGAUGCAGCCAUGCCGAGUGUAUGAAGAAGGCCAUCGGGUUGUAAAGUACUUCCAGCUGGAUGGCGUUACCCGAAGAAGAAGCAUCGGCUAACUCCGUGCCAGCAGCCGCGGUAAUAC